rnacentral:lncRNA from 1 species
CCGAUGUCGCCAAUGCCCUGCUGCCUUUUCGCAUUUUCGCAUUCCUUGUCUCCAUUUCCUUUCUUGGACAGUCUUUCACCUUAUACUCCAUUGAUUCACACAUAACACAUUUACUAUACCUUCUUGGAUUGGGACAUUUAGGAAAGAUAUAUAUCCCUCCUGUCCUUACUUUCUAUACACGAACUUUUCCUUUUAAUCACAUUCCCGGCUUAUCUCCGGUAUUAUUAAG